CCUACGGGGCGCAGCAGUGGGGAAUAUUGGACAAUGGGGGGAACCCUGAUCCAGCGACGCCGCGUGAGUGAAGAAGUAUUUCGGUAUGUAAAGCUCUAUCAGCAGGGAAGAAAGAAAUGACGGUACCUGACUAAGAAGACCCGGCUAACUACGUGCCAGCAGCCGCGGUAAUACGUAGGGGGCAAGCGUUAUCCGGAUUUACUGGGUGUAAAGGGAGCGUAGACGGCGAUGCAAGUCUGAAGUGAAAGGCCGGGGCCCAACCCCCGGACUGCUUUGGAAACUGUAUGGCUGGAGUGAAGGAGAGGUAAGUGGAAUUCCUAGUGUAGCGGUGAAAUGCGUAGAUAUUAGGAGGAACACCAGUGGCGAAGGCGGCUUACUGGACUGUAACUGACGUUGAGGCUCGAAAGCGUGGGGAGCAAACAGGAUUAGAUACCCCGGUAGUC
rnacentral:rRNA from 1 species